AUUGAACGCUGGCGGCAUGCCUUACACAUGCAAGUCGAACGGUAACAGGUCUUUCGGGAUGCUGACGAGUGGCGAACGGGUGAGUAAUACAUCGGAACGUGCCUAGUAGUGGGGGAUAACUACUCGAAAGAGUGGCUAAUACCGCAUGAGAUCUAUGGAUGAAAGCAGGGGACCUUCGGGCCUUGUGCUACUAGAGCGGCCGAUGGCAGAUUAGGUAGUUGGUGGGAUAAAAGCUUACCAAGCCUGCGGUCUGUAGCUGGUCUGAGAGGACGAUCAGCCACACUGGGACUGAGACACGGCCCAGACUCCUACGGGAGGCAGCAGUGGGGAAUUUUGGACAAUGGGGGAAACCCUGAUCCAGCAAUGCCGCGUGCAGGAUGAAGGCCUUCGGGUUGUAAACUGCUUUUGUACGGAACGAAAAGUCUUGGGUUAAUACCCUGGGAUCAUGACGGUACCGUAAGAAUAAGCACCGGCUAACUACGUGCCAGCCGCCGCAGUAACAC
rnacentral:rRNA from 1 species